rnacentral:rRNA from 1 species
GAUCAUUGCACACACAAAGUUGCAGCAAACCCCCUUUGCGAAUUUCAUGAAUGUCCCCCUUGUGUUUUGGGGGGCUGGGGCAUCGUCGUCACUAUUCUUGUGGUGGUGGUGGCGGCGUCCCGGCCUGCCGAACACAUCCAAGUUCCCCCCAUACAAUGGGGGAGGCUUGGGGCUCCUCCCUAAACCGGGUAGGCGGCCCCUUGUCCCCCCCUGGGAGGGACUUGGUAACCAACCGAUUGCGCAAUGCAUCAACACUUUCAAUAUGACUGAGUAUAAAAAUCGGGACACUGCCGCUUGCAAAGGCGGUGGCGUCCCCGAGUUGUGAUAAACAAAAACAACUCUCAGCAACGGAUAUCUUGGCUCUUGCAACGAUGAAGAACGCAGCGAAAUGCGAUACGUAGUGUGAAUUGCAGAAUUCCGCGAAUCAUCGAGUCUUUGAACGCAAGUUGCGCCCGAGGCUUGACCAAGGGCAUCUCUGCCAGAGCGUCACCGCGACACCCACCAAUCCACUCUAAGUGGAUUGAGUGAAACUGGCCAUCCGAAUGUGGCCGCCCGGAGGGGGAAAGGGAAACCUUCCUUCCUGGGUGGCAGAUUGGGUUGGCUGAAAUGGAGGGGAAUUUGGCCGCCGUGGUGACACAGCCCGCGAUCAGGUGAUCCAGGCUCCCCCACUUGCAAAGGUGGUGGGUGUCCUGGAACUCAAAUGUGCGUUGGUUGUGCUCCUACCCAGUCAGGAAUUCCAAAGCAGGUCCCUCGCGACACUCGGUCCCUUCUAGUGACUUAGUCACCAAGGAGGGGCUGGGUGGACAGUGAGGAAAGCGUC